UACAGAGGUCCCAAGCGUUGUUCGGAUUCACUGGGCGUAAAGGGUGCGUAGGCGGUCGGGUAAGUCUGACGUGAAAUCUCCGGGCCUAACCCGGAAACUGCGUCGGAUACUAUCCGGCUAGAGGAUUGGAUGGGAGACUGGAAUACUUGGUGUAGCAGUGAAAUGCGUAGAUAUCAAGUGGAACACCAGUGGCGAAGGCGAGUCCCUGGACGAUACCUGACACUGAGGCACGAAAGCUAGGGGAGCAAACAGG
rnacentral:rRNA from 1 species